GGUUAAGUGAAUAAGGGCGCACGGUGGAUGCCUUGGCACUAGGAGCCGAUGAAGGACGGGACUAACACCGAUAUGCUUUGGGGAGCUGUAAGUAAGCUAUGAUCCAGAGAUUUCCGAAUGGGGGAACCCAAUAUCUUUUAUAGGAUAUUACUUUUCAGUGAAUACAUAGCUGAUUAGAGGUAGACGCAGAGAACUGAAACAUCUUAGUACCUGCAGGAAGAGAAAGAAAAUUCGAUUCCCUGAGUAGCGGCGAGCGAAACGGGAAGAGCCCAAACCAACAAGCUUGCUUGUUGGGGUUGUAGGACUCCAAUAUGGUAGUCUGUUAGUAUAGUUGAAGGAUUUGGAAAAUUCCGCUAAAGAGGGUGAAAGCCCCGUAGACGAAAUGCUGACAACACCUAGGAGGAUCCUGAGUACGGCGGAACACGAGAAAUUCCGUCGGAAUCCGCGGGGACCAUCCCGCAAGGCUAAAUACUCCCUAGUGACCGAUAGUGAACCAGUACCGUGAGGGAAAGGUGAAAAGCACCCCGGAAGGGGAGUGAAAUAGAUCCUGAAACCGUGUGCCUACAACAAGUCAAAGCUCGUUAAUGAGUGAUGGCGUGCCUUUUGUAGAAUGAACCGGCGAGUUACGAUUGCAUGCGAGGUUAAGUCGAAGAGACGGAGCCGCAGCGAAAGCGAGUCUGAAUAGGGCGAAUGAGUAUGUAGUCGUAGACCCGAAACCAUGUGAUCUACCCAUGUCCAGGUUGAAGGUGCGGUAAAACGCACUGGAGGACCGAACCCACGUACGUUGAAAAGUGCGGGGAUGAGGUGUGGGUAGCGGAGAAAUUCCAAACGAACUUGGAGAUAGCUGGUUCUCUCCGAAAUAGCUUUAGGGCUAGCCUCGGAAUUGAGAAUGAUGGAGGUAGAGCACUGUUUGGACUAGGGGCCCAUCUCGGGUUACCGAAUUCAGAUAAACUCCGAAUGCCAUUCAUUUAUAUCCGGGAGUCAGACUGCGAGUGAUAAGAUCCGUAGUCGAAAGGGAAACAGCCCAGACCACCAGCUAAGGUCCCAAAAUAUAUGUUAAGUGGAAAAGGAUGUGGGGUUGCACAGACAACUAGGAUGUUGGCUUAGAAGCAGCCACCAUUUAAAGAGUGCGUAAUAGCUCACUAGUCGAGUGACCCUGCGCCGAAAAUGUACCGGGGCUAAACAUAUUACCGAAGCUGUGGACUACACCAUUAGGUGUAGUGGUAGGAGAGCGUUCUAAGGGCGUUGAAGGUCGAUCGUGAGGACGGCUGGAGCGCUUAGAAGUGAGAAUGCCGGUAUGAGUAGCGAAAGACAGGUGAGAAUCCUGUCCACCGUAUGACUAAGGUUUCCUGGGGAAGGCUCGUCCGCCCAGGGUUAGUCGGGACCUAAGCCGAGGCCGAUAGGCGUAGGCGAUGGACAACAGGUUGAUAUUCCUGUACCAGUUGUUUUUGUUUGAGCAAUGGAGGGACGCAGUAGGCUAAGGAAUGCAUGCGAUUGGAAGUGCAUGUCCAAGCAAUGAGUCUUGAGUAGAGUUAAAUGCUUUACUCUUUAAGGACAAGUUGUGACGGGGAGCGAAAUAAUAGUAGCGAAGUUCCUGAUGUCACACUGCCAAGAAAAGCUUCUAGUGAGAAAACAACUGCCCGUACCGUAAACCGACACAGGUAGUCGAGGAGAGUAUCCUAAGGUGAGCGAGCGAACUCUCGUUAAGGAACUCGGCAAAAUGACCCCGUAACUUCGGGAGAAGGGGUGCUGACUUCGGUCAGCCGCAGUGAAUAGGCCCAAGCGACUGUUUAUCAAAAACACAGGUCUCUGCAAAAUCGUAAGAUGAAGUAUAGGGGCUGACGCCUGCCCGGUGCUGGAAGGUUAAGAGGAUGGGUUAGCUAACGGUCCUAAGGUAGCGAAAUUCCUUGUCGGGUAAGUUCCGACCCGCACGAAAGGCGUAACGAUUUGGGCACUGUCUCAACGAGAGACUCGGUGAAAUCAUAGUACCUGUGAAGAUGCAGGUUACCCGCGACAGGACGGAAAGACCCCGUGGAGCUUUACUGUAGCCUGAUAUUGAAAUUCGGCACAGCUUGUACAGGAUAGGUAGGAGCCUUUGAAACGUGAGCGCUAGCUUACGUGGAGGCGUUGGUGGGAUACUACCCUAGCUGUGUUGGCUUUCUAACCCGCACCACUUAUCGUGGUGGGAGACAGUGUCAGGCGGGCAGUUUGACUGGGGCGGUCGCCUCCUAAAAGGUAACGGAGGCGCUCAAAGGUUCCCUCAGAAUGGUUGGAAAUCAUUCAUAGAGUGUAAAGGCAUAAGGGAGCUUGACUGCGAGACCUACAAGUCGAGCAGGGUCGAAAGACGGACUUAGUGAUCCGGUGGUUCCGCAUGGAAGGGCCAUCGCUCAACGGAUAAAAGCUACCCCGGGGAUAACAGGCUUAUCUCCCCCAAGAGUUCACAUCGACGGGGAGGUUUGGCACCUCGAUGUCGGCUCAUCGCAUCCUGGGGCUGUAGUCGGUCCCAAGGGUUGGGCUGUUCGCCCAUUAAAGCGGUACGCGAGCUGGGUUCAGAACGUCGUGAGACAGUUCGGUCCCUAUCCGUCGUGGGCGUAGGAAAUUUGAGAGGAGCUGUCCUUAGUACGAGAGGACCGGGAUGGACAUACCUCUGGUGUACCAGUUGUCGUGCCAACGGCAUAGCUGGGUAGCUAUGUAUGGACGGGAUAAGUGCUGAAAGCAUCUAAGCAUGAAGCCCCCCUCAAGAUGAGAUUUCCCAACUUCGGUUAUAAGAUCCCUCGAAGAUGACGAGGUUAAUAGGUUCGAGGUGGAAGCGUGGUGACACGUGGAGCUGACGAAUACUAAUCGAUCGAAGACUUAAUCAA
rnacentral:rRNA from 1 species